ACCUGUAGCUUAAUUGGAUAGAGCGUCUGACUACGGAUCAGAAGGUUGGGGGUUCGAGUCCUCCCAGGUU
rnacentral:tRNA from 1 species